rnacentral:rRNA from 1 species
AUUGAACGCUGGCGGCAUGCUUUACACAUGCAAGUCGAACGGUAACAGGCCUUCGGGCGCUGACGAGUGGCGAACGGGUGAGUAAUGCAUCGGAACGUGCCCAGUCGUGGGGGAUAACGCAGCGAAAGCUGUGCUAAUCCCGCAUACGAUCUAUGGAUGAAAGCGGGGGACCGUAAGCCCUCGCGCGAUUGGAGCGGCCGAUGUCAGAUUAGGUAGUUGGUGGGGUAAAGGAUCACCAAGCCAACGAUCUGUAGCUGGUCUGAGAGGACGACCAGCCACACUGGAACUGAGACACGGUCCAGACUCCUACGGGAGGCAGCAGUGGGGAAUUUUGGACAAUGGGCGCAAGCCUGAUCCAGCAAUGCCGCGUGCAGGAAGAAGGCCUUCGGGUUGUAAACUGCUUUUGUACGGAACGAAACGGCGAGCUCUAAUACAGUUUGCUAAUGACGGUACCGUAAGAAUAAGCACCGGCUAACUACGUGCCAGCAGCCGCCGUAAGAC